GAUCCUGGCUCAGGAUGAACGUUAACUACAGGCUUAACACAUGCAAGUCGAGGGGAAACGGACAUCGAAAGCUUGCUUUUGAUGGGCGUCGACCGGCGCACGGGUGAGUAACGCGUAUCCAACCUGCCCAUCACUUGGGUAAUAACCGUUGCGAAAGUAAGACUAAUGCCCAAUCGACAUCCCACGAAGGCAUCCGAAUGGGUAUUAAGAUUUAAUCGGUGAUGGAUGGGGAUGCGUCUGAUUAG
rnacentral:rRNA from 1 species